rnacentral:rRNA from 1 species
UCCGGUCCACACAUUGGACUGAAGAAUUCACCAGACUCUACGGAAGCAGCAGUACGGAAGUUUGCACAUGACGGAAGGUCUGAUUGAGCCAUGGCGCGUGAGGUGAUGACCGUCCUCCGAAUGUAAAGCUCUGUUGUAAGGAGAAAUACUAGAAGAGGAAAUGCUUUAGUUUGACGUACUUACCAGAAAGCCACGGCUAACUAUGUGCCAGCAGCCGCGGUAAUACAUAGGUGGCAAGCGUUAUCCGGGAUUUAUUGGGCGUAUAGGGUGCGUAGGCGGUUAGUUAAGUUUGAGGUCAAAGCCCGGGGCUCAACCCCGGUUCGCCCUUGAAAACUGGCUGACUAGAAUACAGGAGAGGUAGAUGGAAUUCCAUGUGUAGCGGUGAAAUGCGUAGAUAUAUGGAGGAACACCAGUGGCGUAGGCGGUCUACUGGCCUGUUAUUGACGCUGAGGCACGAAAGCGUGGGGAGCAAAUAGGAUUAGAUACCCUAGUAGUCCACGCCGUAAACGUUGAGUACUAAGUGUCGGCAUUAUGUCGGUGCUGCAGCUAACGCACUAAGUACUCCGCCUGAGUAGUAUGCUCGCAAGAGUGAAACUCAAAGGAAUUGACGGGGACCCGCACAAGUGGUGGAGCAUGUGGUUUAAUUCGAAGCAACGCGAAGAACCUUACCAGGGCUUGACAUCCAGUGCAAAGCUACAGAGAUGUAGUGGAGGUUAACAUUGAGACAGGUGGUGCAUGGUUGUCGUCAGCUCGUGCCGUGAGGUGUUGGGUUAAGUCCCGCAACGAGCGCAACCCUUAUCAUUAGUUACUAACAUUCAGUUGAGCACUCUAAUGAGACUGCUAGUGUAAGCUAGAGGAAGGUGGGGAUGACGUCAAAUCAUCAUGCCCCUUAUGUCCUGGGCUACACACGUGCUACAAUGGCUGGUACAAAGAGUUGCAAUCCCGCGAGGGGGAGCUAAUCUCAAAAAGCCAGUCUCAGUUCGGAUUGAAGUCUGCAACUCGACUUCAUGAAGCCGGAAUCACUAGUAAUCGCGAAUCAGCAAUGUCGCGGUGAAUACGUUCUCGGGUCUUGUACACACCGCCCGUCACACCAUGAGAGUUGGUAAUACCAGAAGUAUGUAUCUUAACCGCAAGGAGGGAGCGUACCAAGGUAGGACUAGCGAUUAGGGUGAAGUCGUAACAAGGUAACCGUA